rnacentral:tRNA from 1 species
CACCAGAUGACUGAAAGUAAGUGUAGGUCUUUUAAGCCUAUUAUAGCAACUGCGUCUGCUUCUGGUGG